AGUCCCUCUACCAGGUGAAUGUGGCUGUCAUCUGGCCGCCCCCCAGUCCCUCUACCAGGUGAAUGUGGCUGUCAUCUGGCCGCCCCCCAGUCCCUCUACCAGGUGAAUGUGGCUGUCAUCUGGCCGCCCCCCAGUCCCUCUACCAGGUGAAUGUGGCUGUCAUCUGGCCCCCCCCAGUCCCUCUACCAGGUGAAUGUGGCUGUCAUCUGGCCGCCCCCCAGUCCCUCUACCAGGUGAAUGUGGCUGACUCGCACAGUGUGCUCCCCUUCCCUCCCAACAGUAACCUGUGGUGGGAUGGGUAUAGCCUCUAGUGAUGUGUUGCUGUUCCCUUACGAGAACCCACUUACUCUGGUGUGUUUAUCCCAUUGAGUGACGAGCAUAGUCCCUCAUAGCAAAAUAGAAUGAAGGAUAGUCACAUAUCUUAUUUCACCUUUUUAUAUAACUAGUUGAGAACGAGUUCUCCUUUACAACUGCGACCUGGCCAAGAUAAAGCAAAGCAGUGCGACACAAACAACAACAGAGUUCCACAUGGACUAAACGACACGUACAGUCAAUAACACAGUAGAAAAGUCUCUGCACAGUGUGCUCCCCUUCCCUCCCAACAGUAACCUGUAAGUAGCCUCUAGUGAUGUGUUGCUGUCUCUGCACAGUGUGUCUUAUUCAUUAAUACUUACUUUCCCACCAUCAUUUGCAAAUAAAUUCAUUAAAAAUCCUA